rnacentral:tRNA from 3 species
GGGGGUGUGGUGGAAUGGUAGACGCGACAGACUUAAAAUCUGUUAUCCGUAACGGAUGUGCGAGUUCAAGUCUCGCCACCCCCA